rnacentral:rRNA from 1 species
GUGGCGGACGGGUUAGUAACGCGUGGGAACGUACCCUUCACUACGGAAUAGUCCCGGGAAACUGGGUUUAAUACCGUAUACGCCCUUCGGGGGAAAGAAUUUCGGUGAGGGAUCGGCCCGCGUUAGAUUAGUUAGUUGGUGGGGUAAUGGCCUACCAAGACUACGAUCUAUAGCUGGUUUGAGAGGAUGAUCAGCAACACUGGGACUGAGACACGGCCCAGACUCCUACGGGAGGCAGCAGUGGGGAAUCUUAGACAAUGGGGGCAACCCUGAUCUAGCGAUGCCGCGUGAGUGAUGAAGGCCUUAGGGUCGUAAAGCUCUUUCGCCUGUGAUGAUAAUGACAGUAGCAGGUAAAGAAACCCCGGCUAACUCCGUGCCAGCAGCCGCGGUAAUACGGAGGGGGUUAGCGUUGUUCGGAAUUACUGGGCGUAAAGCGCACGUAGGCGGAUUAGUCAGUCAGAGGUGAAAUCCCAGGGCUCAACCCUGGAACUGCCUUUGAUACUGCUAGUCUUGAGUUCGAGAGAGGUAAGUGGAAUUCCGAGUGUAGAGGUGAAAUUCGUA